GUCUUUUUUUUUUGAACAAACAACAUACUUAGACUACUGGCCAGCUCAGUACAAGGGAGAAGAAGAGCCAUUACAGAGUGCCGGCUUUACAAGAGAAUCAUCAAUGGAGUUUUGAGCUCUCGGAAUAAAAGAAAACAAAAUAAGCUCGAAACUAGAAAAUAUGAACUCGACAUCUAUUAGAAGGCCAAAGAGUUCCAUUGGAUAUAUUUUCGAGUUGAUUGCUCUAAUUAGCACUUAGGAGUUGGAUCGCAUCUCAGUUGGUAAAUCAAUGGGUUAAAAUGGUGUUCCUAGUGUUAUACUCACGCUUUCCUGUUACAUAUUUUUUAGAAUAAAUUUAAACUUCGAUGGUUAAACAAUAAUAUAAUUAAAAGUUAUUUGAUUGCACGUCUUAGUUGGUGAAUCAAUGAGUUAAAUUGGUGUUCCUAGUGUAGUAGAUCAAAAUACACAUUUAACGGUCAGACCGGGCCGGUUUUUGCAACACAUGAAAAUAUAUAUAUCUGGAUUGUCAAUUUGAAGUAAAUAUACCGAACCAGACCAGUUAUGAAAACUCUAAAUUAAAUCCAUUUGACCUCUAUAUGCAGCCAGACGAGACCAAGCACUAGAUCUUUAAAUUUAUGGGUUUAAUCUGAAAUGCCCCUUAGACUUCUAAAAAAGUUAUCAAAUGCCCUUCUAUCAAUUUUUUUUUUGUUUUUAACCAAAAAAAAAAAUUGACCAUUAUUCUUAGAGUAGCACAAUGGUUUGAUCAAGAUCUAACAUACUAUUUUUCAUCUUCCGCUCUAUAAUAUUUUUGUUCUUUCCUUUAUCUAAUAAAUUCAAAACACAUUCAUUUUAUGCACUAUAAUGGUUUUGUUUAAUAAAAUUUUGAUACAAGUUCAAAUUAAAUAAUAAUAUAUAUAUCUAUAAAUAAUAAUAAAUAAUAAUUUUUCAUAUAAAAAGAAAAUUAUUUAUAAUUAGAUAAUUGAUUUUAAAUAACUAUGAUGUCAUAAAAUGUCAAAAAACAUAUUUAUAAGCUAAAAUUUGGCAUUAGUGGUGCCUACUUCAUUCUUAUUCAACAUGUGAAAUGUUUUUAACAUCAAAUAAUACAUAACAUUAAGUCGUUAUUCAACAUACCAAUUUAAUUAUAAUGAUUCAACUGUAGACUUUUUUAUUCAAUAUAUACAUUGUAAAUUGUCUUAGAUCUUCCAUCUUUUCUUGAUACUUUUAACAGUAAAAUAUCUUAAUGUUAGAUUCACAAAAAAAAUACAGUUAAAAAAUAAAGUUGAUGCUAAUAUAUAUAGACAAAUAAAACAUUGGUUUAUAAAGGUGGAUGUAGAAAUCUUUUAUUAGAGGCAAAUCUAUGUAAAUAUAAGCAUAAUACUAAAAAGUGAUUUUUAAUAGAGAACAAAGUUUUAUUAGGGGCAAAUUAUAUAUAUCCAGAGGGUAGGGCGUGUUUGGGCAGAAGACUGCGGUCCGCGCAGACUUGACCUAUUGUGAUCCGCUUGAAGCCAACCCCGCUGCGAUCCAGGAUGGGAUGAGACGGGAUAACCUGUCUGCCAUCUCUAGGUGGAACAAUGAAACUAGUUUGGGUUUUUUGGUGAAAGAUUGAAAAUUCUUGGUAUAUUAUGCAAUUUAUGGAGUAGUGAUUAAUGAUCUGGGCUUCUUUAAGAGAUUUCGGCCCAUUAAAUAGAUAUAAAGCAGUGUAACUAGGGCCCAUAUGAUUCAUCUUCAUAACGCUUACUGUAGCUUCAUCUUCCCUCUCUCUCUCCCCUGAAGUGGCUACUAUGAGUCUCUCCCUCAGUGUUACCUUGUGGAUAAGGCGGCGCUGAUUGCGGUCCGAUUCAGCAAGGUGGGUCUUGUAACGACCCGACGGGUAUCCAGAAGAUGGCGUCUUAUGUUUUCAAUAACUACUACUUGAAGAACGGACAAGCUGACGAGGCUUGUAGUAUCUACAACAACGCAGCUCUCACUUCCAUCAAUCCCAUAAGAGAGUGAGCAAUGGGCGAGUCGUGGACGACACUUCAGUGUGUGCAGGAGGACAAGCAGAUAUGAGCAGUAGCAGACGGGUAUCCAGCAGCUAGAUCUUGACGAUGCACGGAUAAAUUCAUCUGUAGGCCAUAAGCACAAGCUCGUUGACGAUGAUAAAAGUCCUAGUGUAGGUUUUAACAUGUUUUUGAUAUCUUCAAUUGUAAUUGCAUUGUUAAUAUUGCUAUUAAGACGAUCAUGUUUUACCGUA